GUUGCAUAACUACAUUCUGGUUUUUUUUUCUUUUUCACUUACAUGGACUUACCAAUUUGGGCUUCUUCCAGGAGCUGAAAACUGAUUACAAAUAUGAAACAGAUUUCACUACAGGAUUUGAACUCUACAUUAAAAAACAACAAGCUCCCCAAAAUAAUUGAAAAAGAUCUUCACCAAAGAGUAGCUGCAAUGUGAAUAGCAGGACAUGAAGCAAGUUAAGAGAGUUGGUGGAGCAGAGCCAGACCUUUUUCUGUAUUCGAGGGUUUCAGCAUAUCCUCAGAGCCCUGGAGAACUGUGCCAAGUACCUGUGUGACCCAGACUGGACCUCUGGCCAACAGGAUUCUUAUUGAGCCAUAGUGACCCUUCUCCCUCAUGACUUCAGGCCCUUCACCAUGGCUCUGAUGGUGAAAAAAUUAUCUUAAGCUUGGAAUUAAGUGAUGAAAGGGACCUUGGAAAUUAUCAACUCUAAACACUUCUUAACAGGAAAACUGAAAGCAGUUAAGAACCUGCCCUCUGCUGUGCUGAGUUGGAGUUCUUGGUGUCUGGGUGAGUCCCCAAGGCCACUGGUCUUCAGAUCUUUCUUACUUGAGAAGAACGCCUCCGCCUCCUGGCUCUCCCACCAGUGGUACUGCCACCACCACACACCAGCAUACAGCACAGAUUGCUGCCCAGCUCCUUGGAGAGCGGCCAGUGCAUUUGUCAGGAAUUGA
rnacentral:lncRNA from 1 species